AAGAGACGUUGCCCUUCGGGGUAUACCUCCCACCCUUUGUUUAUUAUACCUUUGUUGCUUUGGCGGGCCCGUCCUCGGACCACCGGCUUCUGCUGGUCAUGUGCCCGCCAGAGGACCUAAAACUCUGUUUGUUAAUAUUGUCUGAGUACUAUAUAAUAGUUA
rnacentral:misc_RNA from 1 species